AUUGUAUUGCGGGGGAACCAUUUGGUUGAGAAGGUUAAAACCUGACCCUUUGAACUUGAAGUAGUUAAAACUACCGUAGGGAGCAAAGUGAAUUUAUGU
rnacentral:ncRNA from 2 species